CCCACUCCUCUGCUCUGUCCCUGCCCGAGACCCAAACCUAGCUAGCGCGGCGGCGGCGGCUUACCUGGCGGGCGCGAGGUCGCGAGGACCAUGGCACCAGGCGGGCGUGGGCGGCGGAAGGCUGGGGGCUUGGAGCCUUGGAGGGCGGCGGAUCCAGUGGCGCAGCAAGCGACGGCAGCAGCAAGCGGCGGCUCCGGCGGCGGCUUCAGCAGCAGCUCCGGCGGCGACUCCAGUGGCGCGGCGGUUUCAACGGCGGCUCCAGCAGGCGACGGCCACAGUCGGGGUUUGGGAUUCAGUUUUGUCUAGAUUGCUAGAAGAUGGAAGGAAAGGGAAAGGGACUAGUAAAUCCAAAGAAAAGAGGAAGAGAUUUGAAAAGGUUUUAGGUUGUUUUCCUAUUGAGACAUGUCUACAUUUUCAUUGUAUUUGGUUAUUCAUUCGUAGUGUGUAUUGACUCUUUGAUUCGUAUCAAAAAAAAUCUUAGUGAGACUUUGCCACACCUUAAUUUUUUUCCGUGGUCCACCUCUGUCUACACACAUGCGCAUAUACACCAAGAAAGAACACACAGGCUUUGCCGAGACUCUCCCUUCGCACCCACAAGCACUACAUUGUUUUCUCAGCCCGCUCCAGCUUUCAUUCACGUAGUCAACUUAUAUAGGCAUUACAAGAGUAUCUCCACUACCAACU